GAACGCUGGCGGCGUGCCUAAUACAUGCAAGUCGAGCGAACAGACGAGGAGCUUGCUCCUUUGACGUUAGCGGCGGACGGGUGAGUAACACGUAGGUAACCUACCUAUAAGACUGGGAUAACUUCGGGAAACCGGAGCUAAUACCGGAUAAUAUUUCGAACCGCAUGGUUCGAUAGUGAAAGAUGGCUUUGCUAUCACUUAUAGAUGGACCUGCGCCGUAUUAGCUAGUUGGUAAGGUAACGGCUUACCAAGGCAACGAUACGUAGCCGACCUGAGAGGGUGAUCGGCCACACUGGAACUGAGACACGGUCCAGACUCCUACGGGAGGCAGCAGUAGGGAAUCUUCCGCAAUGGGCGAAAGCCUGACGGAGCAACGCCGCGUGAGUGAUGAAGGUCUUCGGAUCGUAAAACUCUGUUAUUAGGGAAGAACAAACGUGUAAGUAACUGUGCACGUCUUGACGGUACCUAAUCAGAAAGCCACGGCUAACUACGUGCCAGCAGCCGCGGUAAUACGUAGGUGGCAAGCGUUAUCCGGAAUUAUUGGGCGUAAAGCGCGCGUAGGCGGUUUUUUAAGUCUGAUGUGAAAGCCCACGGCUCAACCGUGGAGGGUCAUUGGAAACUGGAAAACUUGAGUGCAGAAGAGGAAAGUGGAAUUCCAUGUGUAGCGGUGAAAUGCGCAGAGAUAUGGAGGAACACCAGUGGCGAAGGCGACUUUCUGGUCUGUAACUGACGCUGAUGUGCGAAAGCGUGGGGAUCAAACAGGAUUAGAUACCCUGGUAGUCCACGCCGUAAACGAUGAGUGCUAAGUGUUAGGGGGUUUCCGCCCCUUAGUGCUGCAGCUAACGCAUUAAGCACUCCGCCUGGGGAGUACGACCGCAAGGUUGAAACUCAAAGGAAUUGACGGGGACCCGCACAAGCGGUGGAGCAUG
rnacentral:rRNA from 1 species